rnacentral:rRNA from 1 species
UACAGAGGAGCCAAGCGUUGUCCGGAAUUACUGGGCGUAAAGCGUGCGCAGGCGGUUUUGUAAGCCAGAUGUGAAAUCCCCGGGCUUAACCUGGGAAUGGCAUUUGGGACUGCAAGGCUCGAGUGCGGCAGAGGAGACUGGAAUUCCUGGUGUAGCAGUGAAAUGCGUAGAUAUCAGGAGGAACACCGAUGGCGAAGGCAGGUCUCUGGGCUGACACUGACGCUCAUGCACGAAAGCGUGGGGAGCAAACAGG